rnacentral:rRNA from 1 species
AUUGAACGCUAGCGGGAUGCUUUACACAUGCAAGUCGAACGAGUGGCGGACGGGUGAGUAAUAUAUCGGAACGUGCCCAGUAGCGGGGGUUAAUUACCGAAAAGGGUGGCUAAAACCGCAUACAAUUGGACCGCCCGAUAUCGGAGUAGCUAGUUGGUGGGGUAAAGGCUCACCAAGGCAACGAUCCGUAGCUGGUUUGAGAGGACGACCAGCCACACUGGGACUGAGACACGGCCCAGACUCCUACGGGAGGCAGCAGUGGGGAAUUGUGGACAAUGGGGGAAACCCUGAUCCAGCCAUCCCGCGUGUAUGAGAAGGCCUUCGGGUUGUAAAGUACUUUUGGCAGAGAAGCGGUAUCUGCAGAAUAAGCACCGGCUAACUACGUGCCAGCAGCCGCGGUAAUUC